rnacentral:rRNA from 1 species
ACGGGGGAUGCAAGCGUUAUCCGGAUUUAUUGGGUUUAAAGGGUGCGUAGGCGGUUUGAUAAGUCAGCGGUGAAAUAUUUCAGCUUAACUGAAAGGGUGCCGUUGAUACUGUCAGGCUUGAAUAUGGUUGCUGUGGGUGGAAUGUGUGGUGUAUCCGUAAAAUGCUUAGAUAUCACACAGAACAUCGAUUGCGGAGGCGUCUAACAAACCCAUUAUUGACGCUGCUGCACUAAAGUGUGGGGAUCAAACAG